UACACGCACAACCCGGAGAAACUCACACACUUUAUACUUCAGAACGCGGGUCUGAAAUUUGAGAAAUAACGCCCUAAACGAGUCAUAGAAGAAACUUUAAGGAAAGAUUAUUAUUGUUUUCCACAAUUAAUGACGGAUUAAUUAACGCAGCAGUUUUGUUUGUGUCGAAAGUGCUGGAACUUUUUUCAGUAUAAAAUCAGUCCUCGGACUGAGCGGAAUAGUUAGAAAAUAGGCGCGGGUUGGUCUGUGGGAGGCGCCGGUAACCAAGAUGGUGGGAGAGGAGGAACCCUCCGUCAGCCCCAGACCCUCACAGCUUCACACCCCUAACUCACUGCUGCAGCACUGCUCCAUCACAGUGCACCGUUACAGGGUGCAACAGUAGUAUGGUGGUCUUGAGUCUCUGCACUGGGCAUUCUCAGUCCCUCCCCUCGUCCAUCACAGUCAGUCCAGUGCUUUGCUGACUCAGGAGUGCUAAAUACCACUGUGAACAGGGGAAUGGUCCCUUCCUGCCAUUGGUCUGAAAGGGGAGGAGGGUGCGCUGGUUGCCUCUGCCCUCAGCGACGACUAAGCGCUGAGUUUUGGUUGUAUGGAUGAUCUCCUGACUCCUGUUCCUUGGCUUCUCUUCGCGUCGUGUCAGCAGACAACGUCAGGCUGAUUAGGCCCUAAGGGUCAGAGGAAAGAGGAUCACACACUUUUAUUUGCUACUCUGGAUUAAUGCUGCCUAUGUGUGAUGGCCUACAUGUGCUGUUAGAUGCAGUAGAGUGGCGAUUUCCAAAAGCAAAGUGGUGUCACUGCUCUGUUGUCAGGUUUACAUUUCACUAUUUUAGCCCUUGUUAGAUAAGAUAAGAUACUUUUUUUAUUGUCAUUGCACAGUGUACAACGAAAUUUAGCAAUGUUAGCAAUGUUAGACCUUGUUAAAAGGUUCCAGGUGUAAAUGCGAAGCAGGGCUGUUAAAUUUAGUGUUUGGAGAACAAUUCUCUCAUACUGGCCAUUGGAUAUUCAACAUGACACUUCAUGGAGAAGAACUUUAAGGAUGUGAGAAAUAAAAUGGUUGCUCUGCACAAAGAUGCCCUAGGCCAAGGGUGUCCAAUCUACGGCCCGCGGGCCAUUUGCGGCUCAUUUCCUUUUUUGAAGUGGCCCGCAAGGUAUUUUAGAAAUAAAAUGAAAGUCCCGCAGGUUUUUAUAAUGUGAGGUUCAAAGUUUAAACGGCAGGUGUCAGAAAGUGGAUAGAAUGCGCAGUUGUAGUGGGGAAAACAUAUCAAAAAGUCUAUAUGUGGCGAGAACGCACAGUUGUCGUGCUGAAAACAGGCCAAAGAGUCUAAAAGUGGCGAGAGGGUUCAGUUGUAACGUGGGAAACGGGCCAAAGAGUCUAAAAGCAGCGAGAGGGCUCAGUUGUAGCGUGGGAAACGGGCCAAAGAGUCUAAAAGCAGCGAGAGGGCUCAGUUGUAGUGCAGAAAAAAGGCCAAAGAGUCUAAUGACUCCAAAGAAACGAAAAAUGGACAGCAAAUGCAGAACAUUUCAGGCAUGUUGGGAAAAUGACUAUUUUUUUAACUGAGUUAAGAAAGAAAUGUGUAUGUUUAAUUAGUCAGGAAUCAGUUGCCUAAUUAGGAGUAUAAUAUUAGGAGACAUUAUGAAACAAAACAUCAAUUUGAAAAUCUAAUUUAAACAACACUGUCAAAGAUAGAUAGUAUAGAAAAAUAGAAAGAUAGUAACUCAAGUAAAACAGUGUGUAAAUGGUAGUAAUCAAGAACAUGCAUUAUUAUAAGUAGUAUAUUUUAUUAUUUGUUUUAUUACAGAGUCUGUGGCCCGUGACUGCACAUAUAUUUCUCCUUCUGGCCCCCAACAAAAAAGGUUUGGACACCCCUGACCUAGGCUAAAAGAAAAGUUGAAACUGAGCCACAGCAAAGUGGCCAAAGUCAUACAGCAGUUUUCCAGGAUGGGUUUUAUUUGGAACAGGCUUUGCCAGAAAGUGAUUUUAUAUCUGUAUGUAUUAUGAUUGUUUUGCAGUAAUGUAUUACAAUUGUUUUUUUUUUUUUGUUUUAUUAAAAGUUGUACUAUCAUUAUCAA